GAUGAACGCUAGCUACAGGCUUAACACAUGCAAGUCGAGGGGCAGCAUUAUCGAAGCUUGCUUUGAUAGAUGGCGACCGGCGCACGGGUGAGUAACGCGUAUCCAACCUUCCCCAUAGUCAGGAAUAGCCCGGCGAAAGUCGAAUUAAUGCCUGAUGUUUUCCACGGACGGCAUCUGAUGUGGAACAAAGAUUCAUCGCUAUGGGAUGGGGAUGCGUCUGAUUAGCUUGUUGGCGGGGUAACGGCCCACCAAGGCAACGAUCAGUAGGGGUUCUGAGAGGAAGGUCCCCCCACAUUGGAACUGAGACACGGUCCAAACUCCUACGGGAGGCAGCAGUGAGGAAUAUUGGUCAAUGGGCGAGAGCCUGAACCAGCCAAGUAGCGUGCAGGACGACGGCCCUAUGGGUUGUAAACUGCUUUUAUAAGGGAAUAAAGUGGGUCUCGUGAGACUUUUUGCAUGUACCUUAUGAAUAAGGACCGGCUAAUUCCGUGCCAGCA
rnacentral:rRNA from 1 species